GGUUCGAUGGUGUAGUUGGUUAUCACGUCUGUCUCACAUAUUGGUGGCGUAAUGCUCAGUCACGUGCGCACAGGAGGUCUCCGGUUCGAGCCCGAAUCGAACCA